rnacentral:rRNA from 1 species
AACGAACGCUGGCGGCAUGCCUAACACAUGCAAGUCGAACGAGACCUUCGGGUCUAGUGGCGCACGGGUGCGUAACGCGUGGGAACCUGCCCUUAGGUUCGGAAUAACUCCCCGAAAGGGGUGCUAAUACCGGAUAAUGUCUUCGGACCAAAGAUUUAUCGCCUUUGGAUGGGCCCGCGUUGGAUUAGCUAGUUGGUAGGGUAAAAGCCUACCAAGGCGACGAUCCAUAGCUGGUCUGAGAGGAUGAUCAGCCACACUGGGACUGAGACACGGCCCAGACUCCUACGGGAAGCAGCAGUGGGGAAUAUUGGACAAUGGACGAAAGCCUGAUCCAGCCAUGCCGCGUGAGUGAUGAAGGCCUUAGGGUUGUAAAGCUCUUUUACCCGGGAUGAUAAUGACAGUACCGGGAGAAUAAGCGCCGGCUAACUCCGUG